GAUGAACGCUGGCGGCGUGCCUAAUACAUGCAAGUCGAGCGAACAGACGAGGAGUUUGCUCCUCUGACGUUAGCGGCGGACGGGUGAGUAACACGUGGAUAACCUACCUAUAUGACUGGGAUAACUUCGGGAAACCGGAGCUAAUACCGGAUAAUAUAUUGAACCGCAUGGUUCAAUAGUGAAAGACGGUUUUGCUGUCACUUAUAGAUGGAUCCGCGCCGCAUUAGCUAGUUGGUAAGGUAACGGCUUACCAAGGCGACGAUGCGUAGCCGACCUGAUAGGGUGAACGGCCACACUCGGAAUGAGAGACGGUCACAACCCCUACGGGGGGGAGGAGUGGGGGAAAUUGGCGAAAGGGCGGAAGCCUGAUCGAGCAAAACCGGGGGGGUGGAGAAGGGUUUCGGGAUGGAAAACCCUUUUGUUGGGGAAAAAAAAAAGGUGGUAGAAACAAAGCAGUUUUGAAGGUAACCAAAGAAGAAGCCCCGGCUAAAUUAGUG
rnacentral:rRNA from 1 species